AUUGAACGCUGGCGGCAUGCCUUACACAUGCAAGUCGAACGGCAGCGGACCUUCGGGUGCCGGCGAGUGGCGAACGGGUGAGUAAUAUAUCGGGAACGUACCUUUCAGUGGGGGGAUAACGUAGCGAAGUUACGCUAAUACCGCAUAUUCUGUGAGCAGGAAAGCAGGGGAUCGCAAGACCUUGCGCUGAUUGAGCGGCCGAUAUCAGAUUAGCUAGUUGGUGAGGUAAAGGCUCACCAAGGCGACGAUCUGUAGCGGGUCUGAGAGGAUGAUCCGCCACACUGGAACUGAGACACGGUCCAGACUCCUACGGGAGGCAGCAGUGGGGAAUUUUGGACAAUGGGCGCAAGCCUGAUCCAGCCAUGCCGCGUGAGUGAAGAA
rnacentral:rRNA from 1 species